rnacentral:lncRNA from 1 species
GGGGAUUCCCGCCGCCUCCCUGAGGAGAGACCCGGGCGAGGCUGGUCUUCCCGGCCCCCUCAGUGAAUGAAAUGUAAUGGCUGCUUGGGAAAGAGGGAUCUGCCACCACACAUGAAGGAAAUGAAGGUAAAGGAGACCUCUGAGAUAUUCGUGAUGCUGUGACCAGCCGCUGGUAAAUCGUAUGGCAGACGGUAUCUAACAAAGAAUUCCAUCUGCAGGUACAUAGAGUCUUCUUAAACUUCGUAGCACUGUGAGAUGAAGGUGUCCUAAUACCCAAGUUUAUAGAUGAAAAGGUUUCACACAUCAAAUAGAA